rnacentral:rRNA from 1 species
UCUCGAGCAGAGAAGGGCGUUUGGUGGAUGCCUUGGCGUCGAGAGGCGAUGAAGGACGUGGCACGCUGCGAAAAGCCACGGGGAGCCGCGAGCAGGCUUUGAUCCGUGGAUAUCCGAAUGGGGAAACCCGGCCCGCAAGGGCCAUCGCGCACUGAAUCCAUAGGUGCGCGAGGCGAACCCGGCGAACUGAAACAUCUCAUUAGCCGGAGGAAAGGAAAUCAACCGAGACUCCGCAAGUAGUGGCGAGCGAACGCGGACUAGGCCAGUGCGCAGGAUACGAUGAACCGGAACGACUCUGGAAAGGUCGGCCGUAGAGGGUGAGAGCCCCGUACGGGUGGAUCGUGACUUGCGACUUGAGUAGGGCGGGGCCCGUGAAACCCUGUCUGAACGUGGGGGGACCACCCUCCAAGCCUAAGUACUCCUCGACGACCGAUAGCGGACAAGUACCGUGAGGGAAAGGUGAAAAGUACCCCGACGAGGGGAGUGAAAGAGACCUGAAACCGGACGCCUACAAGCAGUGGGAGGGACUUCGGUCCUGACCGCGUACCUUUUGUAUAAUGGGCCAGCGAGUUAGUCUUUGCAGCGAGCUUAAGCCGAUAGGUGUAGGCGCAGCGAAAGCGAGUCUGAAUAGGGCGACAAGUUGCAGGGAUUAGACCCGAAACCAGGUGAUCUAGCCAUGGACAGGUUGAAGGCCGGGUAACACCGGCUGGAGGACCGAACCCACCGUCGUUGAAAAGCCGGGGGAUGAUCUGUGGCUAGGGGUGAAAGGCCAAUCAAACCUGGAGAUAGCUGGUUCUCCGCGAAAGCUAUUUAGGUAGCGCGUCGCGUAUCGCCCACGGGGGUAGAGCACUGGAUGGGCUAGGGGGCCUCGCGGCUUACCAAACCCAACCAAACUCCGAAUACCGUGGAGCGCAAUCGCGGCAGACAGUCUCAGGGUGCUAAGGUCCUGGGACGAAAGGGAAACAGCCCUGACCGCCAGCUAAGGCCCCCAAGUUGCGACUAAGUGGGAAAGGAUGUGGGAAGGCCAAGACAACCAGGAGGUUGGCUUAGAAGCAGCCAUCCUUUAAAGAAAGCGUAACAGCUCACUGGUCUAGACAAGCCGUCCCGCGCCGAAGAUGUAACGGGGCUCAAGUCGCACGCCGAAGCUGCGGGUUCCAGGGAUCGGGUAUCGGGUAUCGGGGCGCGUUCGUCCGUGAGGACGGGUGCGCGCCGGCCGGAUGCCGGACCGGCGGGAUUGCCGGACUGUAUGCGGCCGGGGAGCUGUGGCUUCCCCGGUUCCCGAUCCUCGAUUCCUGGGGCGGUAGCGGAGCGUCGCCUAGGCCUGCGAAGGCGUGCUGUGAGGCACGUUGGAGGUAUGGCGAGUGAGAAUGCUGGCAUGAGUAGCGACAAAGAGUGUGAGAGACACUCUCGCCGAAAGCCCAAGGGUUCCUGCGCAAGGCUAAUCCGCGCAGGGUGAGUCGGCCCCUAAGGCGAGGCCGAAAGGCGUAGUCGAUGGGAACCAGGCGAACAUUCCUGGACCUUCCGGUGGUGACGGAUGGCGUAAGUGGUCGCGGCUUAUCGGAUUGCCGCGGCGGCGAAGCCGUCCCGGGAAAUAGCCCCGGAGUAAGACCGUACCCGAAACCGACACAGGUGGGCAGGUAGAGCAUACCAAGGCGCUCGAGAGAACAACGCUGAAGGAACUCGGCAAAAUGCUCCCGUAACUUCGGAAGAAGGGAGCCCGGUUCGUGGGCAACCAUGGGCCGGGGGCACAGACCAGGGGGUGGCGACUGUUUACUAAAAACACAGGGCUCUGCGAAGUCGACAAGACGACGUAUAGGGUCUGACGCCUGCCCGGUGCCGGAAGGUUAAGAGGAGAGGUGAGAGCUUUGAAUCGAAGCCCCGGUAAACGGCGGCCGUAACUAUAACGGUCCUAAGGUAGCGAAAUUCCUUGUCGGGUAAGUUCCGACCUGCACGAAUGGCG